UGAGAUCCCGCUUGGAAGAAGAAUGCCUCCGUGAAGCAGACGAACCGACGUAGUCGGACGGGUCCUCACAUCCGACACGCUUGCGAAACUCUAUCGAGACGGGGAAAACCGGAAACAAGCAUCAACAUACGAUAUUCACCACACGAUGCACAACACAAAUGAUGUAGGAGAAGCUGAAAACAUGCAAGCCACGGCAUGACAAUUCACGCAAUCAAACACUACACAUUAAGUGAAGUUCAAUAUGCAAAGAGUUGCAUAUUGACGAUACUCCACGUCUAUUUAUUUAGUGCUAUCCCGAUUAUCUACACGGCAAUAUUAAUGUUGUCAAACAUGCAGGAGGUGAAGCGGAAAUUAAACUACUUAUCUAGGCAUUUUAAGUGAGGUCGGAAAUGACUUAUAGCACCUCCGAAAUGACCCCACGUGUUAAUUUACAAUUCUGUCCUGAACUGAACUAAUGCAUUUAAUUGUUUGUUAAACAGCAAAACAAAUAGGUUCACGUGAUUCUACGCGUCAAGGCAAGCAAUCUACACAUAAAGAACAUCUCCAACGGAGCUACGGAACAAAAGAUACAAGCACCGCAAGAUAUGAUGGCAUGAAUGCAAUAUGUGUGCAACGGUGGCUACGAGCACUUCAAAACAUACGGACAGAAAGAGAAAAAGAAACUACACGAGAUUCUAAGCAAUUUUCAUGUAGGACACGAUCAAAACGGAGCUACGGUUCGAAAACUACGAGCAAAACAAGAAAACACUGCAAUCUGCCAAAAACAGCCACAUAGCAACUUCUACGCCUCACAACUUCGGCUACACAACUCCGAUGAGCUCAAGCAAGGCAUGGCAUGAAAGAGGGCAAGACUCACUACUACAAACAACUAACAACUACUAGCAUGGCGGCAAGGAGCACCAGGAAACGAAGACACUAAAAGGGCAUCUCACACGCUAUUUCAGACUUAGUGAAAACAACACCUCCUGAAGGUGCAGUUUUCAACCUGAAGGCAUAUUGACAGCAGCAAAACCUAUAGCUACAGGACUCCAAAUGUCAUGAAACUUCACAAAAUGCUAAAGAAACAAAAGGGGUACAAUUAACUCCAUUGGACCAACCUCAUAAGAGCUACCGAUCUCAAGGUGCAAGCAAGACAAGACAGCAACAAAAUAUAACAGUUCCCAGACUUAGAAAUAUUUCAGCACGUCUAAAACAGCACUAUUUCUAGCAACUUGGGAGCUAGCAGACAACACCUAAACAUGCAUUUCUAUUGCAACCAAAAAUACCAGAGGCUAUACAAAGCAUCCAGGAUCAAAACACUAGUUGACAACUAAUUCAAACGAGGCCCGGAAUAAAACCUACGGACUAAACAAAAGGGCAUCACGGCAAAAUAUCUCGCGGACUAACUUCCUCAAAAGCUAAAACUAAUUGCGUAGAAAAAUCUACCCCGAAAACAUAUAUAAUAUGUGGGGUUUGCAACACCAAAUAACGCCACACAAUAAUACGGGAGAAUUAAACCAAGACACGAAAAAAUAAUCUUACGGGCAAACCCUACACGCAAAAAUACACUUGACCGCUCUAAACUACAUGGAAAAUAGCUCCCUAGAGCAUGGACAUUUUAUCUACGACGUACGAGCAAAACAAACACGCGAGGAAAAUAAAUGCGGGCACCUACUUAUGGAGACAGCACAUAAAUCCACGCAUUAGACACUCUAAACAGUGUUAAACAAAUAUGCUAGUUUCAAAAACAUAUUCUACGCGCGAAACUACCACAAAAACAUAUACUACAUUCCUCGUUCCGACUUACGGGUAAAAAGAUACGGUCGUUUGAAAAACGUCUAUUCCCUGAAAUAAACUUAAAUUCUAAGACCUGAAAAAAAGGUUAUUGGGCCGAAUUCGAAUCAGAGUCGGUUCGGUCAUUGAGCGCAAUUUAGAAGCAGUCGCCUAGGGCGCGGAAUGGCUCACCUUGGGGGGCUCUCGAGCCGCUGGUGGAGCUGGGCCAGGCGCCUGCGUGGGGGAGCAGGCCGGGCGAGGCCUACUAGGCCGGGGCGACUGGCUGCGGUGGCCACGCGGGAGGAGGAGGCGCUCCCGUCUCCGCUCUUGAUCCCGAGCAGCGGCGCGACGACUCCUGCCGCGGCGGCCGGCGAGGGGGAGGACCACCACGGGGCGCAGCGAGGCGGGGCUUGCCGGAGGGGAGGCCGCAGAACGGCGGCGCUGCGGGAUCCGGUGAGGAGGCAAGGCGGGGCCAGCGACGAGGCUCGAUCUGGCGCGGGGAAACUCGCAGCGGGCGGCGCGGCGGCGCUAGGGCGCGGGCAGGGGAGCAGGAGGCCAGCGCGGCAACGCAGGUGACGGCGGCUUGCGGCGGCGUGACAAGGGCGAGCUGUGGGGCGCGGCUCGGGCGGCAGGAAGGGCGACGAGGCCCCGGCAGCAUGGGGCGACGCGGCGGCGCGGGCUUGCUGGGGAUCUCGGGGCAGGGAGCUCGAACAGGGGCGGCGGCGGCUCGGGCUUGCGCGGCGGCGGCGCGAUUCGGGCUCGGGCGGGCCUACGAUGGGCUUCGCGGGCCCGGCGGCGCUGGCAGAGGAGAGAGAGUGGGGCGGCGCGGCUAGGGUUAGGUCUAGGUGGAGCGCGGAUUCCGAGGAGGAUUAGGGGGGCGCCCAAAAUAGGCAGGGAGGGGUGCUUAAAUAGGGAAAUGGGCUAGGGUGCAGGGUAUCUGGGGGUUUUUCGACCCUCCGGACGCGUUCGUGCGUUCCGUUCGGGGAGGCAGGAUAGGGUUAGGUGUGAAGAGUGGCAUUGGCUAAGAUGAGAGGGAAGUGGUGCGGCGCGGCAUUGACUAUUAAAACACCGACAGACGUCCGACGAAUAACCGAAGACGGUGCCGCUACGGUCGACCGUUUGGGUACCAGUCGGUCUCCGAUCGCGAUGAAAUUCGACAGGCGGUCUAGCUACAUCUAAUCGCGACCGCGUGCCAAGUCUCACCUCGAUCAGAGAGAGUUUUAAACACACGACGAAAACGGUCGGACUUAGAACGGACAACGACGAGGACCGGCAACUACUAGCGGAUGCAAGUUUGAAAACUGGCGGCAACGGAGAUGCCGAUGCAAUGCAGAUGAUGCGAAUGAUGCGAUGAUGACGCGACAAAUAAAAUUAGACACACGACGAAAACGGAAAGAGAGGGGAAUCUUCUGGAACGUCGGUCUCGGGCCGUCACACGUGAGUAGUCCUCCUUGGACCAUGAGUCCAUGACCAGUAGCUAUGUGAUGUCUUCUCUCCAAUAUUGUGCUUCAAUGUUUAGCCCUUGUGAGCUGCCCUACAUGAUCAAGGCAUCUAUGUAAUUCUCCUGCUAUUGCUAUGCUUGGUUUGCUGGGAUCCGAUGGAUUAUGAGAUUAUGUUUAGAUUGUGAUGAGUUAUAUAUUUGGUUAUUCUUUUAUAUUAUGUUCUUAGCUAAUUCAUGCAUGUUGUACAUUGCUUUUUAUUGCUUUGGCCGUGUAGUUGAUUGUAACUCCAAGAGGGAGCGUUAUGCAUGAUUGUGGGUUCAUGCCCCCAGGUGUCUAGCUUGAGUGAAAGAAACAUGAGACUAGGGGGUGUGCUAUUCCCACCAAUGAGAAAACAAUGGUGCUUGUGACAAUGGUUGCAAGGAUUGUUUACCUUACGCAAAGUUCGUUAAUGCAGUUGUCCCUUGCUUUGAGUUUACACUUUGGGUGGGGCUCGCAACUUGAUAACACCGAGAAUUUCUGGAUAGAUAUCUCAAGAUGGAUGAUUAGUAAGUAGAUGCUGAUGGAUAAACGGUCUACUUGUCUUGGUGUACCACCCAUUACUUUUGAGCCUCUAACUUUCUAGUAGCAUGAUUAGCAUUGUGGUGCGUUUAUAACUUUUUCAAUUGCCCGGCCAUAAUUUCUUUACCCUACAUAGUUGUUUAUCGUCUUUUGGGAGAGAGACAUCACUAGUGAACAUCAUGUGUCUCAGGUCCUUAUUACCACCAUUGUUUACACCUCCACCAUUUACUGCUUUCAUUUACUUUUCCGUUGCAAUCACUAUCACCAUUCCCGCUUGUGUUUUGAUCCUUUACAAACUACAAGCCGGAGAGAUUGACAACUUCUCUGUACUCGUUGGGAGCAAAGUUAUUUGUUGUCUGUGCAGGUCCACAUCUUCCGCUAGCACCAGAGCAGCGUACACCUACUUGUUGAUCCUCGGAGUCCUCCUGGUUCGAUAAACCAUACAGUCCAGUGUAAGGGAAAUAUGCUGCUGACUACAUCUCCACCUUCCACUUGGUGUCGGCGAUGCGAGGUCGACACCUAUGGGAAUCAACGUGAAACCCUUGUGAUCGUAGGGCGAGGAGAGGUGACGUGAAGAGCAGAGCUAACAAUCAGCACCCGACAAGCCUUUUUACCCAGGUUCCGGCUGCUUACGCGUAAAACCCUACGUCCUAUUUGUCUAGUUGUAUUAAGCAUUUUGUUGUCGAUUGUUACAAUGACCGUUGAUGACUGUCUUAUGGGUCAAUGUCCAAAAAGUCUAAUCCCUUCGAAAUGAGCUAAGGGCCUCCUUUUAUAGGCAAAGGGGUCACCUACAAUGCUCAGUGGUAGGUUCACGAGGAGUUAUAGUGAACCUAGGGCGGUGCUUAUCCAUCUACCGCUGUCAGGUGCAUCUAAUGCAUGUCUUGUCCUUGUCAGUGAUGUGAUGGUGAAGACACGUAUACAGGUGUUUUGAAACUUUGACGUUAUGCUGGUGCAUGCGGAAUGCGCUCGCACUUGGGGGCGGUGGCACUGUGGCAAGGGCGGUUGCCCACUAGUGGCCAGGCCCGUCAUCCGGUGAAGGAGCUUGUCGGGGCCUUGAGUCUUCGUCCUGGCAAGGGAUUUUGAUUGGGUCUUGUACUUGGUGAGUUCAUCACGCCCACCAAAUGGCCGCGACCUUGGCCAUCUUCUCGGCAAGGCAGGCUCGCAAAGGCCUUGAUAAUCUUGGGGGUUGCAUCUUGACUAGGUCCUGACAUGCCCUGCCGGCAGGGGCACUUCGCGCCUGUGCACAAGUCUGGGGCACUAGGGACCCUAGUCUCUAGUGCACCGACAGGAGCCCCCGGGCCUGGGCCACACACGCAUGCGAAGCGUUGUUGGGCCAGUCCCAAAGUGGUGCACGGGCUUUCGUGGCUUGAUGCGCCGGAAGUUGCUUUUCCCCACAUCAUGCCUUGGACGCGCAAAGUGGGGGGUCAUGCGCAAUGUGACCUUUCCACCUCCUAAAACGCCUCUACCACGUGCGUGGCAUGCGCAGUUAUGAAUGGACAGGUGGCAGACGUGGCCUUAAAUGGCGUAGUAGUAGCGAGGGCCGACCGUGCUUCCAUUGGUGCAGCAGGGCGGUUCCCUGUUCGCCCGUGAGCACGAGCAAUUGGUCGAGAGGGGUAGUGGCUUCUGUAGCAAGGGAGGCUAGCCCCCGCGCACCGUAGUAUAAUAUAGGAGCGUUUGCGAGUGGUUUUGCUCACCCAACUCCUUCUGAAUCCAGCAACUCCUCAGCCCUGGUCUUCAAAGUCUUCUUCUGUCUGUAGGUGGCGCUCGCCCCUAACCAUGGUUAGGGGACGGGGUCGGCCACCGUCGGUCGCUAGGGCGGCGAGAGGAUCCCAUUCGGAUCAUGCCACAACUUGUGGAGGCGCCGCGGCGGAAGGCGGCCUGAGCGCCCGUGGCGGAGGAAGGGCGAGGGACCGCGGUCCUCAUGGAGGUCGAGGCCGGGGGAGGCGGAGCGCAACUGCAGCGCCUCUGCCUUCUCCGAGGCUUGCUCCUGCGGCGGUCCUUCAUGCUGCUCGGGCGAGGCUGGAAGGCCUUCGUGUGUGCCCAUCUCCUCGAGGACCGGCAUGUCCUCCACUUCGAGCUAGCGGGGGCGGACAUGCUGUCCGUCAAGUCUUAUGGGCGCCCACGUGCGCUUCUCAGCUGUUGCGAAGAUCGCUCGAGCGACAUUGGGUGCUCCGCUUUGAGCGACGGCGACGGAGGGCGGUAGUGGUGAAGGUGUUGGGCCUAGUCCCAAGCUCGGGGGAAUCGAACCAGAAGGAGAUUCCCACAGCUGGGACUGAGUACUUCCUAAACUAGCGCGGCCCGGUCACGCCCAUCCCUCCCCUCACAAGGGGGGGGGAUCUCAACCGGAUCUGUCACCCCAUUCCUACGGCUUGACGAGGCCGUACCCGCUUCCGUCGGUACAACGCUGGUCCUGGCGGAGCCAGCAUGGAUGUACCGCAGGCCUUGCCGCGCCUUGUCUUCAUGAACUCCAAUUCCUCUACGUAGGUUGAUCCUCGUAAAAAGACAAAGUCUUUAGGUUAGGAUAACAACGCUUUGUAAGUGGAGUCAAAUGUAUCCAUUCAAAUGAAUGAAAAGACUGUUUUCCCUUUUUCUGAUUCUAUUCAUUGUGUGAUUGGUCUUUGCAUUCUAUCGGAGCUUGCCGGAAACUACCGGCAAGGCUCCUUGCCACAUUUAGUGGAACCAUAGAAAUCGCCAAGCGAAGCUUGAGACGAAAUCAGGCGCUACAUAGCCGCUUGCUCUGUUGAGCAGGUUCAAAAUAGUUUGAAGGCGCUUUGUGGCCGUUCAGGUCGUUGGAACGAGUUCGAGACAAAGACAAGGUGCACUCAUCUUUGGAAAGGUCCCAGUAUGCGCAGACUCCACAAACAAAGAUUGGAAACUUUUGAAGGGAAAACAGAGAAUCGAUCUACUUCAUAUCUGAGUCUUAAACUUAGAACUUAUCUACUCACGCCGUGGUUGGAUGGAGCUUGAAUCUUUUGCCGGGGCGUCGGGGCCCCCGGCAAGCAGGAAAUUACCGCUCCCGGCAGCUUUCUCUCCGGCAAAGACUUCUUGCCGACAGUUUGCGACCGUCGUUUGGAGAAAACGUUGGCCAGGGUGUAAACCAUUUAGUUUUCUCUUGCUAUGUUGUGGUUGCGGAGCCCCCGAGCGCAUCUUGGGCGAUGAUACGACGCUCUCAUGGGCACAACACUUACGUUGGAGUGUGCGCCGGGGCUUCAGGACCGUUUGGCGCAUCCUCAAUGACUAUGCAUCACUCCGCAGAGGUACGUCUGCCGGAGUAUGCACCGAGGCCUCUGUGAAGCUCCCAGGUACGCACUCGACAGCUGCGCAUUAGCCCUGAGUUAUGCAUCGGCCUGACGACGCCGCCUUUGGAGCCUCCGCCUACGUGCCUCGCGCUCGCGCAGGCCUUGGGAAGCCAUAGCAGAACAUAGCGUCUGCUGUGGUACCCCGUUUCUGGUGGAACUGCCGCGCAUCGCCCAAACUUCCAAGAAUCUGGUGCUAAGUUUGCUCAGAUUCGCGCAAAACUCCACACCCCCUACCUGGCGCGGGCGCCAAAGAUGUCGGUGAUGCGAAGUCGACACCUAUGGGAAUCAACAUGAAACCCAUGUGAUCAUAGGGCGGGGAGAGGUGACUUGAAGAUCAGAGCUAACAAUCAGCACCCGACAAGCCUUUUUACCUAGGUUCGGGCCGCUUACGCGUAAAACCCUACGUCCUUCUUGUCUGGUUGUAUUAAGCGUUUUCGUGUCAAUUGUUAUAGUGACCGUUGAUGACCGUCUUAUGGGUCAAUGUCCAAAAAGUCUAACCCCUUCGAAAUGAGCUAAGGGCCUCCUUUUAUAGGCAAAGUAGUCGCCUAUAGUGCUAAGUGGUAGGUUCACGAGGAGUUACAGUAAACCUAGGGCGGAGCUUAUCCAUCUAUCGAUGUCAGGUGCAUUUAAUGCACGCCUUGUCCUUGUCAACGAUGUGUUGGUGAAGACACGUAUCCAGCUGUUUCACACCUGGAUGAUGCGCUGGCGCAUGCGGAAUGCGCUGGCACUUGGGGGUGGUGGCACUGUGGCAAGGGUGGUUGCGCACCAGUGGCCAGGCCCGUCAUCCCGACAAGGAGCUUGUCGGGGCCUUGAGUCUUCAUCCUAGCAAGGUAGCUUGCCAGGCACUUCAGUCGUCAUCCCGGCAAGGGAGCUUGCUGGGGUCUUGUACUUGGUGAGUUCAUUACGCCCACCAUAUGGGCGCGGCCUUGGUCAUCUUCCCGGCAAGGUAGGCUUGCCGAGGCCCUGAUAAUCUUGGGGGUUGCAUCUUGACUGGGUCCUGCCAUGCCCUGCCGGCAGGGGCUCUUCACACCCGUGCACAAGUCUGGGGCACUAGGGACCCCAGUCUUUAGUGCACCGACAAUUGGGGUAACCAACGAGGGGCGAGAAGUAUGUCCAUCAACUCGUUAUCAGAAGCGCAUACUCCAACAACGAUUAAUUGAAUCCGGGCUGAUACGUCUCCUACGUAUCUAUAAUUUUUGAUGGUUUCAUGCUACUAUCUUGUCAAACUUUGGNNNNNNNNNNNNNNNNNNNNNNNNNNNNNNNNNNNNNNNNNNNNNNNNNNNNNNNNNNNNNNNNNNNNNNNNNNNNNNNNNNNNNNNNNNNNNNNNNNNNCCAAGACCAAGAAAGGAAAUAAUGCUAUCUUUGUGGUCAUUGACCGACUCUCCAAAGUAGCUCAUUUUCUUCCCGUUCGUGAGAGUAUAACAGCUAGCCAUCUAGCAGAGUUAUAUAUCUCCCGAAUAGUGUCUCUUCAUGGUGUUCCCCUGGAAAUUAGCUCGGACCAUGGGAGUAUCUUUACUUCUCGCUUGUGGGAAAGUUUUCAGAAUGCCAUGAGGACUCACUUAUCUUUUAGCACUGCUUUCCAUCCCCAAUCAAGUGGUCAAGUAGAAAGAGUGAAUCAAAUCCUAGAAGAUAUGCUCUGAGCUUGUGUUAUAUCAUUCGGUAUGAAUUCGGAGAAGUGUCUUCCAUUCGCCAAAUUCGCAUAUAACAAUAGUUAUCAAUCAAGCUUGGGCAAAGCUCCUUUUGAAGUUCUCUAUGGAUGAAGAUGUCGAACACCUCUUAAUUGGUCAUAAACCGGAGAGAGGCAACUCUUUGGCCCGGAUAUGAUCCAGGAUGCAGAAGAGCAGGUUCGCAUUAUUCGUAAAAAGUUGAAAACAGCCCAGUCUCGUCAAAAGAGCCAAUAUGAUCGUCAUCAUAAGGCUGUGACCUUUGAAGUUGACGAGAAGGCUUACCUUUGGGUUACACCUUUGAAGGGUACCCAUCGAUUCGGUAUCAAGGGCAAGUUGGCUCCACGUUACAUUGGUCCUUUUCGCAUUCUUGCCAAACAAGGAGAAGUUGCCUACCAGUUGGUACUUCCUCUGCAUCUUUCCAAGGUUCAUGAUGUCUUCCACGUCUCGCAACUCAGGCGUUGCUUUUCGGAUCCUAUCCGUGAAGUGGACCACGAAACGCNNNNNNNNNNNNNNNNNNNNNNNNNNNNNNNNNNNNNNNNNNNNNNNNNNNNNNNNNNNNNNNNNNNNNNNNNNNNNNNNNNNNNNNNNNNNNNNNNNNNAAACUCUCCUUCGUAUUUGCAAGCUGAGAAUGAUGACGAGGAACAACACCAAGAAUAGCCGAGACACUCCGGAAUAAAGAAGAAUGAAAGGUUGACCAAUAUGAGAAUUAAUUCAAAUAGAUCUUGACAAAUGGAUAUGACUAAAGAAAUUCAUACUUACUUCAUAGUUGAAAAGAAUUAAAGAUCUCUAGAAGAUUACAAGAGCUAUAACAGAUCCUGGGAAAAACCUGUGGGUUAUGGGCCCACUCAAAGAAAUCACCGUUGAAAAGAUUACUAGAACGGGAGAUAUUGCACCGGUACAAGAAAACUAGAUGAGGUUAGCACCUCGAAAUAACUGAAGGAUUGAAAAGUAGAACUUCUGAAAUAUCUUUAACACUACGGAUAGAAAGAGAGAGGAAUUAAUAAACAAGAUAGGCUGAAAGAAUUUCCAACGUCGAAAAGAAUUUAAUGGUUGAAAAGGAUAUGAUGACCAUGGAUAACUGAACUGAAUUCACCGGUAAGGAUGACAAGAAUGAAUAAAGAUGAACAUGAAGCUCCUGAGAAUGUUCACAAUGAAUCACCGGGUAAGAGAGGGAAAAACACACAGUGGAAGCACAAUGAAAAGAAAACUCUUGGAUGAAAAUUGAAUCACUGAAGAAAAGGGUGGGAGGGCGGGGAAAACAAAGACAACUCGGGACAGAUGAGACAAACUCCGGUAAGGAUUGAGAGAAUGAUCUGCAAACAUUAGAGAGGAUUGAAUUCACUUGGAGAGAAACACACCGGUUGAAAAGAAUUAACAUGACGACUCCGGUUGACAAGAAUUGAUAAGACAAUUGAUUGAGCAAAAGAAUUUGCACUCUCACAUAAAAAUAUGAGAACACAGAUUAGGAAAGAUCUGAAAUCACCACUUGACAACGAAGCAACACGAAUUACCACAUUCAACAAAACAAGGAUGCGGCUUACAAUUAGCCAGAACAAACUCAUGAGAAAGAUUUCGUCCGAUAUUUUCGUGGACAGGAUCGCACGGGCUCGAUUUUACAGUAGCCAUCAAGUGCAAGGCAGUGCACCCGACAUACGAAGCGUCCCCGAGUNNNNNNNNNNNNNNNNNNNNNNNNNNNNNNNNNNNNNNNNNNNNNNNNNNNNNNNNNNNNNNNNNNNNNNNNNNNNNNNNNNNNNNNNNNNNNNNNNNNNUACAUACUCGGGCUGUCCAUGGAUAAUGUUGGACAAUUUGAAAGGAUGGCGGUUAUAAAUAUGCAAAGAAAUGCAUAUUUAUAGAUGUCGCCCUUUUGAACGGGAGACGCAUACUGGUCACGCAUACUCAUGAUUGAAGAAACCUAUAGCUAGCAAGUUUCAUCGGCACGAAGACUGGGACAGACAAAUUAAGGGGGUAGGAGGAGAAGUCAUUUGUGCUCACCAACAAACGCAGGGGUGGAUCUCGUCCAACGCACGUGGAGGUUGUCGAACUACUGCACAUUGAAAUUCAAACGAUCAACACAAAUAUGAUGUUUUUAUAAUUAACAUAAUCGGAAAAUAUGUGACCUAACUCAUAAUUUACAAAACUAUGACCCCGUGGGACUAGAAGGCCAAAAAGCACCUUCUCGUUCAACAGUAAGUAGAAGAGGUGUCGGGGGUCGGGGCUUAGUGGCAUCGAGGGUCGGUGGUGUCGGGUGUCGGUUGUCGGUGGUCGGGUUAAAUGCGUCGAUGGUCGGGGGUCAGUUUCGUCGGGGGUCGAGGGUCACUAGCGUCGGGGGUUGGGGUCUUUUCGAUCAACAAGAGUCCAAAGAGGUGUCGGGGGCCCGGGAUCGGGUGUUAGCGGCGUCGGGGGUCGAGGGUAGAGGGUCGGGGGUCGGGGGUCGAGGGUCNNNNNNNNNNNNNNNNNNNNNNNNNNNNNNNNNNNNNNNNNNNNNNNNNNNNNNNNNNNNNNNNNNNNNNNNNNNNNNNNNNNNNNNNNNNNNNNNNNNNAGAAAGCAAACCACCACUUCCUUAGGUACUGUAGCAAACUUAAAUUCUACUUAUGCUGAUGUUGGGUUACUGUAUUUUGAAUCUUCCAUGGCUAAUACCCUCUGAUACUAUCCAUAGUUUCAUCAAAAUAAGCAACCAACACAACAAAAACAUAAUCUGUUAACAGCAGAUCAGUUUGUAGCAAUCUGUAUAUUUCGAAUAGUUCUGGUACUUAAAAAAAUCUGAAAAAUUAGCGUAGAAAUCAUCAGAAUAAAGAAUCAUUUCAAAAUCUCUUACAGAAAAAAGGAAAAUUCUUUUCGUGAGCAGAAAGUUUGUGUCUUUUCCAGCUUGACCAAACGAUCAUCCCCAAGACUAAUCAUAAUGGUUUUUCUUGGCACAAACGCACAAAGAAACACACAAAACACAAUCAUAACAGAAUUAUGAAAGUGUGGAAAACACAAAACAGGAAGCAAAAAAGCAAAGAAAAAUUUAUUCAUCGGGUUGCCUCCCAACAAGNNNNNNNNNNNNNNNNNNNNNNNNNNNNNNNNNNNNNNNNNNNNNNNNNNNNNNNNNNNNNNNNNNNNNNNNNNNNNNNNNNNNNNNNNNNNNNNNNNNNNNNNNNNNNNNNNNNNNNNNNNNNNNNNNNNNNNNNNNNNNNNNNNNNNNNNNNNNNNNNNNNNNNNNNNNNNNNNNNNNNNNNNNNNNNNNNNNNNNNNNNNNNNNNNNNNNNNNNNNNNNNNNNNNNNNNNNNNNNNNNNNNNNNNNNNNNNNNNNNNNNNNNNNNNNNNNNNNNNNNNNNNNNNNNNNNNNNNNNNNNNNNNNNNNNNNNNNNNNNNNNNNNNNNNNNNNNNNNNNNNNNNNNNNNNNNNNNNAUGAUGCUCACAUAAAAGGUAAGGAUUGAAACACAAUGAGACCAUCAUGGAGCAAAUGUCUAGCACAUUUAAGUCUAACCCACUUCCUAUGCAUAGGGAUUUUGUGAUCAAACAAUUUAUUGGAGUAAGAAUCAACUAGCAUUGGAAGGCAAAACNNNNNNNNNNNNNNNNNNNNNNNNNNNNNNNNNNNNNNNNNNNNNNNNNNNNNNNNNNNNNNNNNNNNNNNNNNNNNNNNNNNNNNNNNNNNNNNNNNNNNNNNNNNNNNNNNNNNNNNNNNNNNNNNNNNNNNNNNNNNNNNNNNNNNNNNNNNNNNNNNNNNNNNNNNNNNNNNNNNNNNNNNNNNNNNNNNNNNNNNNNNNNNNNNNNNNNNNNNNNNNNNNNNNNNNNNNNNNNNNNNNNNNNNNNNNNNNNNNNNNNNNNNNNNNNNNNNNNNNNNNNNNNNNNNNNNNNNNNNAUUGGAAGGCAAAACAAGCAUAGCUUCAAGAAUUUCAACAUAUGGAGAGGAAGCUUAAUACUAUUGCAAUAAGUAGAAGCAUAUGAUCCUCUCUCAUAGUAAUUUUCAGUACCAUCAUGAAUGAAUUCNNNNNNNNNNNNNNNNNNNNNNNNNNNNNNNNNNNNNNNNNNNNNNNNNNNNNNNNNNNNNNNNNNNNNNNNNNNNNNNNNNNNNNNNNNNNNNNNNNNNUAGGGCGAAUUCAUUCAUGAUGGUACUGAAAAUUACUAUGAGAGAGGAUCAUAUGCUUCUACUUAUUGCAAUAGUAUUAAGCUUCCUCUCCAUAUGUUGAAAUUCUUGAAGCUAUGCUUGUUUUGCCUUCCAAUGCUAGUUGAUUCUUACUCCAAUAAAUUGUUUGAUCACAAAAUCCCUAUGCAUAGGAAGUGGGUUAGACUUAAAUGUGCUAGACAUUUGCUCCAUGAUGGUCUCAUUGUGUUUCAAUCCUUACCUUUUAUGUGAGCAUCAUUGAAAUCAAUGCCUAGCUAAGGGCGUUAAACGAUAGCGCUUGUUGGGAGGCAACCCGAUGAAUAAAUUUUUCUUUGCUUUUUUGCUUCCUGUUUUGUGUUUUCCACACUUUCAUAAUUCUGUUAUGAUUGUGUUUUGUGUGUUUCUUUGUGCGUUUGUGCCAAGAAAAACCAUUAUGAUUAGUCUUGGGGAUGAUCGUUUGGUCAAGCUGGAAAAGACACAAACUUUCUGCUCACGAAAAGAAUUUUCCUUUUUUCUGUAAGAGAUUUUGAAAUGAUUCUUUAUUCUGAUGAUUUCUACGCUAAUUUUUCAGAUUUUUUUAAGUACCAGAACUAUUCGAAAUAUACAGAUUGCUACAAACUGAUCUGCUGUUAACAGAUUAUGUUUUUGUUGUGUUGGUUGCUUAUUUUGAUGAAACUAUGGAUAGUAUCAGAGGGUAUUAGCCAUGGAAGAUUCAAAAUACAGUAACCCAACAUCAGCAUAAGUAGAAUUUAAGUUUGCUACAGUACCUAAGGAAGUGGUGGUUUGCUUUCUCAUACUAAUGUUAUCACGAGUUUCUGUUUAAGUUUCGUCUUGUGAAGUUUUCAAGUUUUGGGUGAAGUUCUUAUGGACAAAGAGAUAAAGAGUGGCAAGAGCUCAAGCUUGGGGAUGCCCAAGGCACCCCAAGAGAUUCAAGGCUUCCAUAAAAGCCUAAUCUUGGGGAUGCCCCGGGAAGGCAUCCCCUCUUUCGUCUUCAAUCCAUCGGUAACGUUACUUGGGGCUAUAUUUUUAUUCACCACAUGUUAUGUGUUUUUGCUUGGAGCGUCUUGUAUCGUAGGAGUAUUUUAUUUUUGUUGUGUCACAACCAUCCUUGCUGCACACCUAGAGAGAGAUACAUGCACUCACCGUGAUUUUGUCGAGCUUCACUUAUAUCUUUUGGUAGAGAAUUCAGCUCACAUGUGCUUCACCUAUAUCUUUUGAGCUAGAUACUUUUGCUCUAUGUGCUUAACUUAUAUCUUUUAGAGCACAGUGGUGCGUGGCUUGGUAGUCGAUCUAUGCUUUGAAAGUAGUCUCAAAAGGGGUAGUUAUCCAAAGGGAUACGAAAACUUCCACCUUCAUGUGCAUUGAAUAGUUAGAGAAGUUUGACUCAUCCCAAUUAGUUUUGAGUUGUGGUUUUGGUAAUAUUGAAGUCAUGCUAGUAAGGUGUUGUGGAUCUAGAAAUACUUGUGCUGAAGUUAGUGAUUCCGUAGCAUGCACGUAUGGUGAACUGCUAUGUGAUGAAAAACUUCUCUAACUAUUCUUUGGCCUCACCGUACUGAUUGUCACCCUUUGCGUGGCGGUCGGGAUCGCGCGAUGGUUUAUACCUACCAACCCUUCCCCUAGGAGUAUGCGUUGAAUGCUUUGUUUCGAUUACUAAUAAAACUUUUGCAACAAGUAUAUGAGUUCUUCAUGACUAAUGUUGAGUCCAUGGUUUAGAUGCACUUUCACCUUCCACCAUCACUAUCUUCUUGGUGCCGUGCAACUUUCGCCGGUGCACAAAACCCACCAUUAGCCUCCAUCAAAACAGCCACCAUACCUACCUACUAUGGCUGUUUCAAAGUCAUCCCGAGAUAUAUUGCCUUGCAACUACCACCAUGACAUGUGCCACCACGUCUACCUUGCCAUUGCAUGAUCGUUAGAUAGCUAGCAUGAUGUUUCCAUUAAUGUCUAUGCCAUGCUAGAUCAUUUCCACGGUACACUACCAAAGGCAUUCCAUAUAGAGUCAUCGUUGCUCUAAGUUUUGAGUUGUAAGUGUGAUGAUCAUCAUUGAUGGAGCAUUGUCCCAUUCGAGGAAAUAAACGAGGCCAAAGAAGCCCACCAUAAAAAAGAGGCCAAAGAGCCCACAAAAAAAAUGAGAGAAAAAGAGAGAAGGGACAAUGCUACCACUUUUUCCACACUUAUGCAUAUUAAGCACCAUGAUCUUCAUGAUUGAGAGUCACUCGUUUUGUCACCACCAUAUAGCUAGUGGGAAAUUUUCAUUAUAUAACUUGGCUUGUAUAUUCCAAUGAUAGGCUUCCUCAAAAUUUCCUUAGGUCUGUGUGAGCGAGCAAGUUGGAUGCACACCCACUAGUUUUCUUUAAGAGCUUUCACAUACUCAUAGCUCUAGUGCAUCAUUUGUAUGGCAAUCCCUACUCAUUCGCAUUGAUAUCUAUUGAUGAGCAUCUCCACACCUCAUUGAUAUGCCUAGUUAAUGUGACUAUCUUCUCUUUUUUUGUCUUGCAACCUCCACCACACUCCACACCAUCUAUAGUGCUAUAACCAUGGCUCACGCUCAUGUAUUGCGUGAGAGUUGAAAAGGUUUGAGAAAGUAAAGGUGUGAAACAAUUACUUGGCCAAUACCGGUGUUGUGCAUGAUUUAAAUUCAUUGUGCAAAGAUGAUAGAGCAUAGCCAAACUAUAUGCUUUUUUAGGGAUAACUUUCUUUUGGCCUUGUUAUUUUGAAAGUACAUGAUUACCUUGCUAGUUUGCUUGAAUUAUUAUUGUUUCGACAUCAGUAGCAAACUAUUGUUUUGAAUCUAACGGAUCUGAACAUUCAUGUCACGUGAGAGAAGUUACAAAGGACAACUAUGCUAGGUAGCUUGCAACAUCAAAAAUUCAUUCUUUAUCACUUCCCUACUCGAGGACGAGCACGAGUUAAGCUUGGGGAUGCUUGAUACGUCUCCAACGUAUCUAUAAUUUUUGAUGGUUNNNNNNNNNNNNNNNNNNNNNNNNNNNNNNNNNNNNNNNNNNNNNNNNNNNNNNNNNNNNNNNNNNNNNNNNNNNNNNNNNNNNNNNNNNNNNNNNNNNNNNNNNNNNNNNNNNNNNNNNNNNNNNNNNNNNNNNNNNNNNNNNNNNNNNNNNNNNNNNNNNNNNNNNNNNNNNNNNNNNNNNNNNNNNNNNNNNNNNNNNNNNNNNNNNNNNNNNNNNNNNNNNNNNNNNNNNNNNNNNNNNNNNNNNNNNNNNNNNNNNNNNNNNNNNNNNNNNNNNNNNNNNNNNNNNCCCCCCGAUGGUGGCGAGCAGGGUUGUGACCUCCUCGUGGGCCCAACUGACGCAAUUCCACCGCCAUAAAUUCCUAUAAAUUCAGAAACCUCUAGAAAGAAACCUAGAUCGGGAGUUCCGCCGCCGCAAGCCUCUGUAGCCACCAAAAACCAAUCUAGAGCCCGUUUCCGCACCCUGACGGAGGGGGAAUCCAUCUCCGGUGGCCAUCUUCAUCAUCCCGACGAUCUCCAUGACGAGGAGGGAGUAGUUCUCCCUCGGGGCUGAGGGUAUGUACCAAUAGCUAUGUGUUUGAUCUCUCUCUCUCGUGUUCUUGAGAUGUCUUGAUCUCGAUAUACCACGGGCUUUGCUACUAUAGUUGGAUCUUAUGAUGUUCUUCCCCCUCUCACUCUUGUAAUGAAUUGAGUUUCCCCUUUGGAGUUAUCUUAUCGGAUUGAGUCUUUGAGAACACUUGAUGUAUGUCCUGCACGUGUCUAUCUGCUGUGAUCAACUUGCGGGUAUGUGACAUUUGGAACCUAUGCAUAUGGGUUGGCACACUUGAUUCAUGUGAGUACUCGAUGUAUGUUUUGGUGAUCAACUUGCGGGUUCGUGACAUUGGGAACCUAUGCACAGGGGUUGGCACACGUUUUGACUCUCUGGUAGAAACUUUGGGGCACUCUUUGAAGUUCUAUGUGUUGGUUGAAUAGAUGAUUCCGAGAUUGAGUGAUGCAUAUCGUAUAAUCAUACCCACGGAUACUUGAGGUGAUAGUGGAGUAUCUAGGUGACAUUAGGGUCUUGGUUGAUAUGUAUCUUAAGGUGUUAUUCUAGUACGAACUCUUGAAUAGAUCGAUCAAAAAGAAUAACUUUGUGGUGGUUUCGUACCCGACAAUAAUCUCUUCGUUUGUUCCCCGCUAUUAGUAACAUUGGAGUGACUCUUUGUUACAUGUUGAGGGCUAGUUACAUGAUCCAAUUAUGUUAUCAUUGUUGAGAGAACUUCACUAGUGAAAGUAUGAACCCUAGGCCUUGUUUCCACGCGUUGCAUUACCGUUCGUGCUCACUUUUACCAUUUGUUACCUUGCUGUUUUUGUAAUUUCGGAUUACAAAAACCUAUAUCUACCAUCCAUAUUGCACUUGUAUCACCAUCUCUUCACCGUACUAGUGCACCUAUACAACCUACCAUUGUAUUAGGUGUGUUGGGGACACAAGAGACACUUUGUUAUUUGGUUGCAGGGUUGCUUGAGAGAGACCAUCUUCAUCCUACGCCUCCCGCGGAUUGAUAAACCUUAGGUCACCCACUUGAGGGAAAAUUGCUACUGUCCUACAACCCUCUGCACUUGGAGGCCCAACAACGUCUACAAGGAGAAGGUUGCGUAGUAGACAUCACGGGCCUUCGAAAAAUAACAAGCCUUUUGAUGGAUCUCGGACCAUACUAGACAAGCUAUUAGACAUCCCAUGUCCCAUACACUCCGCAUUGCCUAACACUGUCUCAACCCACAUGCAUCGAGCCUGUUGGGUCGUUAGGUAGGUGGCUAAGAGCGGAGAGGCUAUUCUCGAGGCCUAACCACCGCCAAGGCGUUCGGUUAAACUUCCCCACAUUACUGUCAAUGUACUCACAAUUUACGAGACUUUCUCCUCAAACAAUCAAAGGAAAAUGGCUCCCCGAGAAACCGGCCAAAUAUUCAUGGUGGCGGGAGCACAUCCAUGGACAAGCACACCCAUUACAUUUAGAGUGGAUGACCAGCAUGGAGUAUGUUCUAACCAAACACACACCGCAUUAGUCCUCAAUCCCAUUAUAGAUAGUCUCAAACUAUCUAAAGUGCUAAUGUACGUCGACAGUGGCUUAAACCCCAUUUAUGAUUGCACCUUAUACAAAAUGCAGUUUGAGAGAUCCCGCAUUGAAUGUAGCAGCACAACGUUUCAAGGAAUCAUCCCCGAAAGAGAAGCCCGAUGCACAGGACGGGUCUCCCUCGAUGUAAUAUUCGACACCUACAAGAAUUACAAGUACGAAGAGCUCACCUUCAAAAGUGGCUAUCACGCCCUUGUAGGACGGGAGGCCUUCACUAGAUUCUAGGUGAUACCCUAUUAUGGGUAUAUGAAACUCAAAAUGCUCGGACCCAUCAGUGUCAUUACCCUCAUAAGCGAUCUGGAUAGGACCCUGCGGCCUGAAAAUAAAACCCCAACACUCACCCUUGAGGCACUUUCAGAGGAACUUGUGGCUCAAGAACUCACCAAACAAAGCUCACUGGCCAACAAGGAUGAUGGACUCUUAGCAAGAGACCAUAGUACACAUCCUUCAAGCCUGCUGACGAAAUAAUCAAGUUCCAAGUGCAAGCGAUGGACCCUGCUAAAACAUCGUCCAUCGCAGCACAACACGACCCCGCGGUCGAUGAAGCAUUGUGCACCUUCUUGUGAGAAAACUAGGAUAUAUUUGUGUGGCACCCUUUGGACAUGCUAGGAAUCCCGCGAAGACUGGCCGAGCAUGGGUUGAACACAAUAGACGGCUUCAAACCCGUCAAACAAACGCUACGUCGCUUCUACGCACCAAAGCGUCAAGCCAUGGGCACCGAACUAGUAAAGCUGCUCGAAGCCGAAUUCAUUCGGAUAUCAAGCAUCUCGAGUGGUUGGGAAAUCUGGUCAUGGUCCCCAAAAAGGACAAAUCCUGGUGAUGAUGCGUCGAUUUCAAAGACCUCAACAAAGCCUGCCCUAAGGAUCCAUUUCCUUUGCCCUAAGAAUCCGAUCAAGCCGCAAGUGAUUUCAUCACUCCCUAAGGGCCAGUGUGCUUUAACACAAUGCCCUUUGGGUUAAAAACAUAGGUUCCACGUGUCAACGCAUGAUUCAAACAUGCCUAGAAAAAUAAAUUGGCAAGACAGUCGAGGCAUACGUGGAUGACAUGGUCAUCAAGACAAAACAUGUCAGCCAACGAGUGGACGACUGAAAGUGCAUUAUAUCGACUAGAGAGGGUAUGACUAGGCAAUUUUUAUGAAUUCGUUACUCAGGAAUUUUACUUGUGAGAAAAUUGCUCACUCACGAACAACAAGCAACGGAAUAAGUACUUAGGCAAACGUGCAACACAGCAACAACAUAGUCUUCAUGAUGAAAUGAAAGAUAUGAUUCACACAAGUAGCAUGAUCACGAUACGUAGGUGAAGAACAAGUGAAGCGAAGAGGAAUUUGUGAAAGUCUUUAGUCAAAAUCUUCAAACAGUAUUAAUUAAUUUCAUCAACACAUAAAUGAGGAAAUAGAAGGGUUGACGAAAUAGAACCAGGUACUCGGUGAAGACAAUGAUUCGAUGACCCAGUUCCAACUGUUGUGAUAGUCAUACGUUUGGUUUGGAGCGGGUUGGUAUUUAAGACAAAGGACACACAGUUCCAUGACACAUAGUCCUUAAUGUAUUCUCCUUGAGCUAAGGACACGUAGUACUCGCUCGAUACUCGUGGUAAGUCUUCAGGGAAGAAUUCCAAAACCCUCACAAACUCGGUCACCCGGCGAUCCACAAUUUACUGUUGGAUGCUAUAGACCAGCGAGGCCAAACCGUCUGGAAGAUACACAGUCUUCAAAGCUAACAAGCUUCGGUUCCCUAGAGGAACAAUCUCUUCAGUGAUGCUCAAUCAAUUUGAGUCUUUGGGUUUUGAUUUGGGCGUUUGGCGUUUUUCCUCACCGAGGAUUUUCUCCCAAAGUCUUUGAGGAAUGGAUUGCUCUCAAAUGAUAAGUGGCAGUUUUUCUCGUGGAGGAGCCACACAGCUCCUGGUUAUGGGGGCGGCUAUUUAUAGCCUAGGAGCAAUCCCGACAUGAUUUGACAUAAAUGUCCUAAUGGUAUGACCGUUAUGUGGAUAAAGUUGGGGACAGCUGGCGUGCGGCGAAGCAACGGUCAGGAAUUUCAAUCUGUGAAAGUCCUCAUGUCUCUCAUAUUCUUCACAUGUAGGUAAUUCACACUGGUGAAAUCCUAACUCCUUAGUUAGAGAAAUUUCCUUAGAAUCCAGAAGAUCUUCGUCUUUGGCACUGAAGAAUUUGACUAAACUAUAAAAGAUUUCCAAAGCCUUCACUUGAAGGAUUGGGUAUGUGUAGGCUUUGAGAUGAUCAUGACUUGGAAAUUUUUCCUUAGUUUUACCUCGACCCCCUUUAACAGUAUGGUGGUCCUAUGAAUCAAAAGAAAGGAAACGAAACUACGAAAACAAAAUUAUUCACGCUUCAUAGUCACCACUUCCAAAGUCUUCGAGGAUUACUGAAGUCCUCAGUGAAAGACAUUCAUUUUUAGGGGUCGGUAUUCCUCAAAAAACUCAAAAUCCUGAGCGACUUAUAGAGCUUGUAUACACUCACAAACACAUUAGUAUCUCCCCCUUUUUGGUGAUUGAUGACAAAUAGGUUAAGUUAUCAACGGGGACAAAUAUAUGAAGUGUAAGUAUAGAGUUUUAGGAAUUAUUGAAAAAUAUAGAUAAACUCCCCCUAAAGAUGUGCAUAUUUCAAGAAUUUGCUUUGGACUGCAAAUGCACAUUGUAGGUCUAUACCAUGGAGAUCUCCCCCUAUAUCUUGUAAUCCUUGCAAGCAUUUAACAUGUAUCAUGAGGAAAUUGAAAUGCAUGAUGGAAAGUGGUAUUUGACGAAUUUCAAGAUGCGUGGAUUAAUCAAUGUGAGAAAUAAUCAUGCGAAAAAAGGUUCAAAAGUGUCAGACCACCACCGGGCAUAAGUUUACAACUCAUACAACCACACACUUCAAAAGAACGAGAGUUGGAAGUUAACAAAAAAUAUAGCCAUAAGCCCAUAAUGUAGACCUGCUUGAAGACUAACUCGAAUUUCUCUCCCUUUGUCAUAAAUUGAUGAAAAGGGACGAAACGAAGGACUAACGCCCCUGAAGAAUUCAACUUGUUGGUGCAGGAGCACCGCUAGCACUGUCGGGUCGUUUGACAUGAUUGGGUCGGCAACAAUGUUGUCAAGAUCAUCAGCUUCAUCAUUUGUGUGCGAUGAAGAAAAUAAACUAGUCACCAGGUGAGGAACUUGCAUAUUCUUAAAUUUCUUAUUGGGAAGCGAGGACCAAUCAAAGUCAACCUGAAAUUCCAUUUUAGUGGGUUCUUUAUGAGUCUUAUGGUGAGACAGAAUGUCCCAUGUACGAUCGAAGAUUUCGUGAAGAUAGUACUCAUUUUUAUUCAUGGCGUUUUGCGUUGCAGUCAUAUCACGCAUAAUGACACCAAACUGACGCUUUACCCACUUGUGAUUGCGAUCGAACUUUUGAUGAAGACUUAGAAGAAGCUCAUGGUCAGAAAUCACGCGCCGGCAGACGCACGAGGAACAUUAGCUCAUGCUUGUGCAGCACAGUCUUGCGAUGCAGUGUCGUUGUUCAUUGAGUAGGAUGCAUCCUUGCAAAAUUGUCCAUCAAGGUGAUUUUCUUGCAACUUCCUUGUGUGAUUUAUUGAGUUUUGAAUCACUAUAGUUGUGCUCCUGUCUAAAAUCCACCUCCUUGACCCCAAGCCCUUGCACAAUGAUCUUGCCAUGUCAAUAGAACCAGGAAACCAAUUUUGUAAAUUAUGAUUUGAAAAAAAGGCAAUUAUUUAUUUUAAGUUUGUCAAAACCCCUAAUUUGGGAUUUGCACUACAAGUCCCCAAUAUAGGAGAGAUGUUUUAUCCCAAAGGUUCUAUUUGGAUCCUAUAAUUCAAAAGACUUCCCAAAACCAUAAAAUAAUUAUUUUAAAAGUUAUUUUCCUAUUCUAUUUAAACACCUUUUUCUAACGCCAGAAAUGGUAUUUCAUAAUGAAAAAUUAUUUUUUUGCAUCAAAAAUAUUUGACAAAAAUUAAGGAAACUCAGUGGACAUAUAUUUUCCAUACAUACGAGUUUCAACACAUGGUCAUGUUCAAAAUAUUGGACAAAACCCCUCGUAACCCUUUCUGUCUAUUUCAAGUUUGGAAAUAUUUCCAUAGGAAACAUUCUCAAUAAGUUCUAGGAAAAGUCUAGAAGGCCACACAUGACAAAUGUGGUGAUCCUGCAAAGUUUCAUCGCAAUCCAAGUUGAUUUCAUCCACCCAAUAAUCCCAAGACCCUUUCUGUCAUGAACCAAAAUUGAGCAACUUUACAUUGCCAAGUUUAUCCAAUCGAUCCCAAAAUUUAUAGUUGUGAUACAGUCCCCAAAUAAGUAUGCUACACCAAGUUGUUAAUAUAUGGGAGUUGAUUUGAUCACCUAGGUCCACAGAAAUCUGAUUAUGUCCAUUUCUAGGGUUUUUCAUGUUUACAUUGUCAACUUUGCUCAAAUGAGAUCAAACUUUCUGAAUCCUACUGAUUUUGCCCAUCAAAUAAUCUUGUUAAAUCUGCCUGCAAGUGGUGAGGUUUAUCUUGCUAAAACAAGCAUCAAACAUCUUCUGGUUAUUUGAUAAAAUUGCUAAUUUCACCCCUUCCACCAUUGUCCUCCACCCCAAAUUUCGAACACAAGCCCACAAUAUUUCCCUUCAUCUGUAACAAACAGUUCGAGUUCUGGUUCAACGUUGGGGGUCGGUAAAGACCCUAAUUAACCCUCUGAUUCACCCUGGGAGAGGCUUUCUCCCACUCCCCAUUUGACCACAACCUCUCUCCUCGGUUCCGCGGCAUCCAAGGAGCAUCUCAACUUCCCUCAAACGCUAGCGGACAAGGUUGAACGUGUCAGAGCGCUCCAACAUGUUGUGGCAUGCGAAAACUGUGCUCUGGACACGCUACAGUGCGCACCCGCAGUGAGGGAAGCCAACCGACUAGCUCGUGCCACCUCUGGCUAUCUCCUGAGAUGCCCUCGAUGACACAAACCUUUCACCACGUCGGCCCCCUCCUCUCUCCCCUUCUCAGCCCCCUACGACACGUUCCCCUGGCCACCCAACUCGGUCAGAUGGCGCUCGCCAUUGCCGCAUGCCAGGAGCCAGGUCACGCUCCUCCUAGUCCUCUUUCGAUCCCCAGACCGCGUCCACGAAGACCGCAGACGCGUCCCCAGGCCCACUCUCCUCCCAUUCUAGUCACCACGGUCUCGCUGGCGCAUGAGCUUUGGGUGAUUCGUGCACCGACUAUAAAAUGCCACCCAGGGCCUCCCUCUCCCUCCCUUUGACCUCAUGCUACUCCUAAUCGAACUCCUAAACCACCCACUCCUCGUCGGAGGGUCCCGAGCUCGAGACCGAGCUCCGGAUCUGCCGCAUCAGGAUUCCGGCAAUCCCCAGGUACAAGUCCGCUCUGGCUAUCCUUUCUUCUCAUCAGAACCACAUCAUAUUCCUAAUGUUUCUACCCCUCUUCCCCGUUCUUUUUCUGCAGGAUUCAACCCGAGCAACCACCCUGCAGAAGCACCUCCACCACGGUACCUCGCCGCCGGUGGCUUGAUGCACCUCAGCUCCUCCCUCCACCACCCACCGAACAGCGGGACGCUGGUCCCAUUCCCGUCAUCGCCAAGCCCAGUCGUGCCCCAUCUCGCCACCAGUGAGCUCGCGCUCUCUCCUGUCGGGAAGUUGGAGAUGACUCCGACAGGGACACAUCUGUCAUCCUCCUCUGCCCUCCCUUUUUCACGGACCGCUCGGGCACAUCAGUCAGGUUUGAAUGUGCGAGUCGUUCGUGUGUCGUACCGGCUGAAGGCGUAAAGCACAUUUGCGCCUUCGACAUGGCCGCCUGGGCCGGCUCUGCCGAGCUGGUUUGGCCCAUCUGGAAUAGUGGAGUUUUUUUAUUUCUUUUCCAAAAUCUUUAAAAAAUUCCCUGAGAUUCAAUAAUUGUCCAAAUUAAAAAAUUCCUCCACCAAAAAUCUUGCAAUAUUCUGUAGUAUUUUAGGGUGCCACUUGUGUAAUUUUUACAAUAGGUUGCAUGCACAGGUUUAUUUUAAAACCCUGUUUUGAGCAUUUUAACACUCUAUUAAAAUAGUUUCUCCAACUUUUUACAGUCCAAAAAUAAAACCGAUUUUUUAUAGAAUCUAUACUCAUCCUAGUAUUUUACAAAAAUGAUGUGAGAUUUUUCUGAGUUGAUUAUUUUCUCUGUUUCUGGUUGAGUGCUUAUUUUUGCCCAUUGAUAUUUUGACGAUAGAUUGCGUUGCUGACAUGGGACUUGGACCAGAAGACUUUGAAGACCCCGGAGACUUUGUUGAGCAAGGAAAGCAACCCCGUGACCAUUUUUAAGGCAGUACAUUCAUGCAUGUCAUAUUCAUCAUUUUAUUUCGGUGCAUAAGACCAUGUUGAAUCGGUAACUACUUCGAUGGGGUGUUUCUGAUAGUUCCUCGUUGACACUUGCACUUGGGCAUAACCCUACCUACCUAUGAGGGUUGUGCGGGUUCGGUGUAGUUAGGUUGCUAGUAGUUCUACGCAUGGAACUGAGUACAUGCAUGAUGACGGUAAAGGAAGAUGAUUUCAAAGGUUUUACGAAAACCCCAUCGAGUGCCAUUAAUGCCCGAGGGUGAUGUGUUGAGCUAGGUAACUAGUUGAUAAAGGAGUGGUGUAUCGAGGCCAGUCGUGUGAGUCGAUUCUGAAAACAGGGUUAGAUUUAAGAUUUGACGAGCAUCCCAUCCUUACAUGUACGACCGCGAUACUGCUUAUGGGACAGGGCUUUGUUGAUUACUAUAGUCGAUGCUAGUGGAGAGCUCGCAUUACUAGUGGCGGGAGUUAUGUGGUUACUCCUAGACGGGGUCGUGCCAAGAAAGGGCGACCACAACCUAUUUUCACAGACACUAGGCACACCGUUGCGUGCCCUUGUGGAUGAUACGUGCGAUGCACAUCGCAAGGGAUUGCCACCAACAAGUGGUCUCUUUGUUAGCGCCAUCAUGGGAAAGGUGAUGUUCGGGUACUUACCUCGGGUAUAAGAAAUGCCUCGAGCCAUGUCCUCACACGGAAGUUUCCCUAGUCUUGUGGGUGAAGUAUGCAACAUCUGCAGAGUAUAAAACUAUUCGAAUAGUUGUGUCCACAGUGAAGGACAUGUGGAUGGUGCUACUUAAAGUACGUCUAUAUUUUUUCGCAUAAACCAAGUGUGUGUGUGUGUUGGAAUUGUGCUAGCAUGAAUGUUGAGCUAAGUGAGAUGACUUGGCAUGAUGGGUGAACAUGGGAGGUUCAACCCUCAUUUGAUAUUGAUACAUGUAACUUGUUCACAAGGUUAUCUCUAACCAUAUGAUGCAUUCCUUGCGAGAAGUUGAUCAUGUUAUUGCAUCAGGGAAAAUCUGCUUUCCCCAAAAUUUCCUACUAGUGUUAUAUCAUGCUUCAUUAUUGCCUUGUUCCACAUAAUGGGUUGCUUGCGAGUACAUUCAAAGUACUCAUUGGCUUGCCACUAGUUAUUUAAUUGGCCAUGCAUGGAAGAGUGGGAAAUUGGAGAAGAGUUCGUCGGUGACGAACAUACGAACAAGGACGCUUUCAAGUCAAAUUGCAUGUAGGUUAAGGCAGAUGACAUGGGUUCACGCUUUCAUUCAAGAUUUCUGCUCUUAGUUAUGUUGGUGUGUCGGACUUCGAGGCCCAAUCUAUGUAAGACUUGGCCUUAAUGGUCCUUAUUUGUAUCAAACGACAUGUAUGGAUGUUAGACUCUUGUUAUUUAGCUUCUGUGUGUUCAAUGAGCAUUGAUCUUUGGGAUCAUUGUACACGUGCAUUCGGUGCUCACGACUUACAAGUCAGGCUAACCCACAUACCUGGUAUUAGAGCCAUCCUUACUGUAGGAAGCCUUACCUAGCAUGGACGUGAGAUAGGACAAGUCCCCCUUUUCAAAAACUAUACCUAGAAUCUAUACUCAGGAGUUUCUGCAUUUUUCCUCUUCCACUCUAUCUUCAAAAAUCUUAACUAACACCCUCUCCUUAAACUUUGUAGAUGGCUGUCGUAAUCGAAAACCUCCUAGCAUCCAGCUUUCCCCUACUCCUUGAGGACAGCGUGGAGAAGUUCCAGGUCCGCCGAUCAACCGUUUCCCUCUACCACGAGCAUUGGGUCAAUGUCGCCACAAAGGAGUACCCUGUUUAUGUGGUCGUGAAGGCAAACGACUCCUAGACAAGCUAGUUCUUUGAAGGACCAUAGAUGGAGACUCUGGUGUUAGCGGUAGAGACAGCGGCACAGAAGGCACUCCUCCACCUUCGCGACAUCCUUCGUGAGAUGGUGAUGAACCGGCUGCUCGCCACUUUCCUUUUGUGGUGGGAGUUGGACAUUGACCCCAUCCCCGGAGGACAGGACACCGCUCAAAUUCCAGACCUACUUCAGCCUCUCCGCCGUCAGUGUGGCUCACAACCUGAUUAAGGAGUCCGUGAAGCUCUGCCAGGAACUUCACCACACCCGUGAACUAGUCCGUCAAGCUAAGACGAAGCCAGACAAGGUCAAGAAGGAUGGAUCCCCUAAGGGGAAACCCGUUGUUGCUUAUAGAGAUGUAGUACCCCCAAAUAGAUAUGCACCCACACAACAUCAUCGCAUGAGUGCGAAGGAGUAUCGUGAGUUCUUCACCGCUCCACACGAGAAGCAUCACCGGGAUGGACCUCCCCAUUCCCCGACUCCCUCGACGGGAGAUGAUGCCCGUACAUAUGAUGACCAGGAGGAAGACCCAGAAGAGCGCGAGUAUGAGACGGAGCACUCCAAUACUGGAGUCUGAGAACCCCUAGGGUAGGACAAGCUAUGUAUCCCUCAUGCGAAGUCUGGUCCGUGUAAUGGUUCAUAUAAAACCAUGUGUGCUUGUUGAUUGUUUUAUGUUUUUGAUUCAAUUCAAUUAACAAUUUUUCUAUAGGCAACAUGUAAGCGACUACAUCGCCUGUCUUUUCUUAAGGUUAUGUGAUGAAUCUUUUGACCAUGUGUUUGACACACUUGCACUGUAUCAACCACCAUUAGGCGUGUUUCCCUCUUGUUGCUAUUCCUUUCGUCUAUUUCAGUUGUUUGACUUGGCUGCUCCAAAUAGGAUGGUGAGUGCUACUCGCACCAUUACCCUUGGCAACCCCAACACCAGUGACUCUAGCCAGCAGCGAGAAGCCGGUGGGUCUGCUCAAGCUAGAGGUCACAGGAGCUGCCACAAGGCAAUAUUCCCCCGCCACCGCCUCCGUUGGAGAACAUGACUAUGACUUAGUUUGUCCAAGCUCUUCGUGAGGAACGCUAAACCAGCACUACCGCUAUCCAGCAAAUGGCUCAAGUUCUCGUGAACAACCAGCAACAGGGUUGGAACAACAACGGUCGUUCCACUCUGUCAUAGUUCAUGAAGUAUUCGCCCCCAACCUUCACUGGGACAGCUGAAACUUUGGAUGCUGAUGAGUGCAUCUGCACCAUCAAUGACCUCCUUGCAUUGGUCAACUACAAUGAGGACCGUGUGAAGGUUCUCUAUGCCUAUCACAACCUCGGAGGUACCGCGAGAGCUUGGUGGGAUCGAUCCAAGGUCAUGGAAGGUGAGCAUCUAAUCACCUUGGAUUAUUUCAAGCAAGGAUUUUGUACUGCUCAUAUCCCCUCUAGGAUUAUGGCCAACAAGAAGUAGGAGUUUCGAGCGUUGAAGCAAGGAAGUGGCUCUAUCAAGGAGUACCCGCAGGAGUUCAACUUCUUAUCAAGGUAUGCACUUGAUGACGUCAGUACUGAGGCCGCCAAGAUAGAACACUUCAUGGAAGGGCUUCAUCAAUCAUUGUUGUAUCAACUUGUUGUCUUUGACUGCCGAACCUUCUUCGAGCUAGUGAACAAGGGCCUCAUGCUUGAAGAUCAGUGUCAUGCCCUGGAAGACACAUGCAAACGCAAGAUGAUCAAUAUCGGUGGUUCUAGCAACCACAAUACUCACCUGUGGCAAUCAGCCGGAGUGAAGCCGAACUAUCAGCCCUUGCAAUCUAGGACUCCUCCAGCUCGUUGAAGCUACCAGCUUCAGCCAUAUGCCAACCCUAGGCCGACCCAACAACAACAAUGGCGGCAAGACCAACAACUUCGGGCAGGUCACAUGCUUUGGGUGUGGUCAACAUGUACAUAUCUCGAGGCAUUGCCCUAGCAAGAAGCCAAAUGCAUCGUGCCCCAAUGCGCCAAACCAGGGACAAGGCCGUGGAGUGCCAUCCAGGAAUCAAGCUCCCCGUAACCUGCCCAACAAUUGGAAAGUCCGUGUGAAUCACGUCUCCACUGAGGAAGCCCAGGAGGACCCGGAUGUCAUACUAGGUACGUUCCUCGUCAACUCAAUCCCAGGGUCGACUCGACCAUGGAACUGGGCUGUAGGGUUCGGGUGGCGACGACGUCUCGGACGGCGCACCCUCGGCACAGCUUCAUUGCAGAUGGCAUCCAAACUGAGGUGAAGCUCCAUCGAUAUCAUGGUUGGGCUAGCUAACAUAAAGGAUGGAGCAGACCUCAGGGAUCCGAUAUGUCUUCCCACCAAUAUGGGCUGGUUGCUGGAUGCGGUUGCAGCUUCAUUGCUUGCCGGGGUCGAGCGAGUAAUUAACAUGUGGUUCACGAGCGUGUCAAAGGUGAUCUGAUGGAUGAGUGUAUCCUGCGCUCUCAAAUAGCGCACAACCUGCACCAAGGCGGGGUGUACCUCAAAGUCUAUGCUGGCAACUUGAGUCGGACUACCAUAGCCUUCAUGACUAGGAUAGUAUCAGAAUGGUCGGCUAUUCAUCCAUGAUGACAAAUAUCGCAGCUGGACUAUAGCCUCUUGGGCUUGGGCUUCACUGGUGGCUUUCUACUAAUGAAAUGGUAAGGGCACUCCAGCGAGGAACUCCCUCCAUAGAUGUGCACCGAUCCCAAAAGUAACGAAUAGCAUCACCCGCAUUCUCCUCAUGCACAACAUACACUGGGGGAUCUUCCAUGCCAAAAACUAGGCGGUUGAGGUCGGCAAGGAUGGCUACGAAACCUUCCGGCUCAGAUGCAAGGAUUUGUUGCUAAGAACGUGGCCAAUCAUCUUGUUGGUUUGGGGAUUACCGGGAUGGGGGUCUCAAGGUUGCGGGUUGCUGGGUUGAGGCAAUGCCCUACUAUAUAGGCUAGGGAGUCUUCCAUCGCACACUACGGAAUGCGACAACUCUGGUGUCGCUCAUAGACACCUAGCUUAAGGGCUAGGCUGACAGGUUAGGCACCGACUACUAAAAGGUGUCGGAUGGCUAUUGUGGUUGGCAAUUGGGUAUUCUAGGGUGGGUGGUGGAUAUAUAAAUAUUCGGGCUAGGGAUAGUGACCUGGCUAACAUAGGUUUAGCCAAUGGUCAGCCUAGCUCUGAUACCAAGGUUGUAGCGACUGGUUAUUCGGAAAAACAAAUUCUGGAAAACAGGCCUUUGUGUUCACCAGCCCCAGGACUGAUGUUAGCUUGUGGACACUCACUUGAUACAGAUAUCCCAAGCAAAUAACAAAAUCUAGGUUACAAGACCAUGAAGGUCCACUGGUUUGGAAAAAAGUCUGAGGCUGAUAGCGGAAGCUACUCGAGGAAUCUCGAGUGCCCAUGGGACUCCAUUCCCACAAGAAUAGCUGACCUGGAUAAAUUCCUUUCUCACAAGGCUUCCAUCCUCGACUUCUAGAUUUCUGGGGUUGAUGGCAUCGUGCUCCUCUCUGAAAGCAAUGUGGCCCAGACAAUAGCCAGGGACCAGCCAGUGUGGUCUUUGAAUGUACUCACAAACAUCAAGAAACCAGAUAAGUUAAAGCAGGUGAGAUGCAUGCAUAAUUCACAUAAUAACUCUAUCAUGCCAUCAAAAUUAAUUAACGGAUGCAUUCAUGCAAAUAAACCAUCUCCACGAAUGUUGUAUAAGCAAGCAAGGAAGGGUCACAAUCAAUUAUAAGCUUCUCGAUCGGGCAUCUAAGGCGGCACCUUGGAAGGACAAGUAACACAAGCCAUAGUCGGGCGUCUUAGCGAGGCCGCAUAAAGGGACUUGUCAAUGGAAUAUUACGAAACAUGCGACAGUUGGGCGUCUGGAACAACACCACAAAAAUUCCUUAGAUGAAGAUAAUGAUGAACAUGUAAUAGCAUGCAUGCCAUAGUUGGGCGUCGGAGCGACACCACAUAAAGGGCUCAUACGAAAGUAAUAACAGUUGCCACAGUCAUGUGUCUAAGCGACACCAUAGAAAGGGAUUAUAUAAUAUCAACACCGAGUAUCCAGGAGGUAGAACCGUCCCAAGGAUACUCUAAUCCAUAUACCACACAUGAUUAGUCCACCUCAGAACUCAUAAUAAUAAUAAUACUUGUCAUCCCGGUUCAUAGGCAUCAUCAUGUUUCAAUUUAAUUCCUCCGAUGACAGACACUCAAACCGACACACUUGACUAGUCAACCAAUCGCCCUUGACCGUGGACACGGCUACUCGAAUAGUUCUGACUCUACACAUGAUGUACUCUUUACCCACAACCCACAUGUUUCAAUAGUCACUCGGACUAAUCCUGUGUACGGUAUUUUAGAAGUAAACACUCAGAACCAGCACACACCAUUUUCCCCCCGUGAGGACCGGCACCAUGUGGGCUACGCUGCUAGGGAAAAACCAUAAGACGGGGAGGCUACAACCUCCACUAGCAUGGGAUCAAAUUAAUACCACGCACUACAAGGGACGAGCUCUUCCAUCUCGGUCCUAGACCGGAAACACCCAUGCCCCCUGACCGGAUGACAUGAUUUAUUCGAGGGCCAUGGAUAACUUCAUCCCGGCCCCUCUACUUGGUGUGAACCUAAUAAUAGGUUUACGACCUACUAAACCGUAUUCCCUUUCGAGAAGACAUGUGGUAGCACGAAAGGUAAGGCGACACACUCACAAGACUCGAUCAACAUCCGACUUAGGAGGUUUAAGUUUUCCUGCAAGGGUUAGUAUCACACAAUUUUUGUGAAUGAUAUACCUCAGUGUUACCACCAUCACACCUCGAUAUGCCCCUCACUAACCACUCUCGUCCCACAAUAUGGCGGUCCCAUGGUCUCAAAAUUACCACUACAAACGUCCCUCCGAGGUAGUGCAGACCAGCAUGGCAUACGAGGCAUGAGGUAGUACACACUCACCAUUUGCAUCACAUAUAAUCAAAAAAAUACCCAACUCAUGCACUCAUGCAAGAUAUGAUUGUAUGUGGGAGCUUUUUUCAAAAUAACCCAAAUCACGCAUUUAAAGCACCACAGCAAACAUCGCACAACUUAAUGCAAAUCAGAGUUUAAGAUUCUUGCCUUUGGAGAGAAGAAGGGUGGUGUCCACCCCAAAAAUCUUGAAGGAAUCUGCCUCUCACCAAAUUCCUAUUUUGAAAAUAUUUAAAUUAUUACAUAAUUACAAAACACCACAUAAAAGUUGUUUUAAACUUCCUGAAAUAAAAUUUGGAAAUAAACUAGAUGAGAUUUUAGAAGGGUAGGAAAAAAAUCAACUCAUUUGGAGUUUUAUUUAAAAAGAUAUGGCCAGUCAAAGUUCUGUUUUUAAAAAUCAAGAAAAAGGAAAACACUUUGGCGUGAAUACGCUUUCCAAAUACCAAAGUGUAUCUGCGCGAGGGCGCUUACUCGUGGAGGAAACGUACCAGCACGCCGGUGCCUCUAGGGAGUUGUGGUGACUGACCGACUGGUGGGCCCCACCUGUCGGGUUCGUCUCCCACCUCGUGUGGGCUGGGACAGAACCAAAGGCAAGUCCGUCGAGGCUCGCCGGUGCUAGAGGGAACCUCUCAUGGCGCUCACCACAUCGGUGCACUUAGGAAAAGGAGACGCACCUCAAGGGAGCGGAAGGGGUCGUCGGUGGGCUCCGGAUUAGGCAUGGCUGCGGCAGUGGCUAGCGGCCCCUCGGGCGGGAAGAAGGCUACGCAAGCAGAGGCUCCUAGGUGACAACAACAGGGGUAUGCGAUCUAGAGGUUUUGGCGAGGCUAGCAGAGGACACGCUGGGGCAGAUGGGGCUUGGGGCUGCCUGAAUUUGGCCGAACACUGGCGGCGGCGCCGCGGCUAGAGGCGAGCAGGGCAGGCAGCUCAGGCCAAAUUGGAGUAAGGGGAAGCAGCUGCGGGCUCCGGGAGGGCGAUGGGGCAAAAUACAGCCCGAUGGGGGGACUACUUAUGGCUGGGCAGAGGCGGUUCCGCUGCGGCCUAAGGAUAAGACCGCCGACGAGAAUCUCUAGCGGCGAUUAGGAAAUUUGGCCCGACACUGGCGGCGGCAGCGCGGCUAGAGGCAAGCAAGGCAGGCGGUUCAGGCCAAAUUGGAGUAAGGGGGCACCAGCUGCGGGCUCAGCGCGCUCAGGGAGGGCGAUGGGGCACAUUAAAGCUCGGGGGGGCUAUUUAUGGCUGGGCCGGGGCGGUUCCGCAGUGGUCCAAGGAUAAGACCGACAACGACAAGCUCUAGCGGCGAUCAAGUGCGGCAGGCGCAGGCUGGCAGGACGGCAGCAUGCGGACAAUGCAGAGGAGGGAUCCAAGGGACAGAUGGCAGCAUGCGGACGAUAUAGGGGAGGGCUCGAGCGGCACCGACCACUGUUGGGCGAGCUGCUGUCGUCGGC
rnacentral:lncRNA from 1 species